CUCAGUUCCAUCCUGCGAUUGGCAGUGACUGGGUUCAGCAGAAUAUAAAUUGCAGCAUCUUGUGCCCAGGGUAUUGGACCCCCCCUGAGGUGAAACCGGCUUGUUGGAGACGGACACAGUUGGAGACAGGAUGAAGCCCUUCGCAACAAUUGUGCUUGUGAUGUGCAUUUACCUGUCAGGAUCGGACAGUGCAGGAUUGUAUGGAAAAUCAGUGAAAUUCGAAACAGAGACAGACAACA